CAGUGGGAAAAUUGUAACCAUAUCCGAGGGGAAGCCCUGCCCCCAUCCUCCUGGAAGGACAAUUGGCGUGAGCAACAUGGCUGGCAGGGGUACGGCAGGGGAGGGAGGUAAAUGAGGGGACAUAUAGUGCAAUGAACGGAUUAGAUAUCAACACCUUGCACUAUCAGCUUUAAUAGAUGCUCUGAAAACUUGGAAGUAACAAGGACAUUUUUAUUCCAAAGAUUGUCAUUAGUGUCUUUUGCUAGCCCCUCCUAAGUGACAGUGGUUGACCAUUGGCAACUGACUCUUCAAACUCUUCUCCAAAGCAGUGCAAGGAACUUAGUUCAUCUGGAUGCAGGUUUAUUCCAAACUUUCUUGCCUUGUGUGCUCUGUCCUUCCCCUCUGAUUAUGCUUCAGCCACAUCAAAGCCCCAUAGGCAUUGCCCUGGGGGAUCAAGAAGCAGUCCACCCAACAAAGAAGAGUAGAGGGGCAACAUCGCUCUGCCUUGAGCCUUUCCUCAUUCUUCAGAGCAUUAUUUACAAUAGCCAAGAUAUGGAAGCAAGCAAGGUGUCCAUGGAUAGAUGACUGGAUAAAGAAGAUGUGGUACAUAUACACAAUGGAAUAUUACUCCGCCAUGAAAAAUAACAAAAUCUUGCCAUUUGAAUCAACAUGGAUGGACCUAGAGGGUAUUAUGCUAAGUGAAAUAAGUCAGACAGAGAAAGACCAAUACCAUAUGGUUGCACUUAUAUGUGGGAUCUAAAAAAUAAAAGACAUAAACAAGACAAAACAGAAACUCAUAAAUACAAAGAACCUCCUGGUGGUUGCCAGAGGGAAGAGGGUGGGUGAUGGGCAAAAUAGGUGAAGGAGAUUAAGAGGCACAAACUUCCAGUUAUAAAAUAAAUACGUCAUGGGGAUGUAAUGUACAGCAAAGGGAAUAUAAUCAAUAAUACUGUAAUUACUUUGUGUGGUGACAGAUGGUAACUAGACUUAUCAUGGUCAUCACUUUAUAACAUACAUAAAUGUCGAAUCAGUAUGUUGUGCAUGUGAAACUAGUAUAAUAUUGUAUGUCAAGUAUGCUUCAAUAAAAAAAAGUAGAGCCAGC
rnacentral:lncRNA from 1 species